rnacentral:rRNA from 1 species
CUCAGUUCGGAUCGGGGUCUGCAACUCGACCCCGUGAAGCUGGAAUCGCUAGUAAUCGCGCAUCAGCCAUGGCGCGGUGAAUACGUUCCCGGACCUUGUACACACCGCCCGUCAAGCCAUGGAAGUCGGGUAGACCUGAAGCCGGUAACCGCAAGGAGCCGUUUAGGGUAGAACCGGUAACUGGGGCUAAGUCGUAACAAGGUAGCCGUACCGGAAGGUGCGGCUGGAACACCUCCUUU